UACGUAGGGUGCGAGCGUUGUCCGGAAUUAUUGGGCGUAAAGAGCUUGUAGGCGGUUUGUCGCGUCUGCCGUGAAAUUUCGAGGCUCAACCUCGAACUUGCGGUGGGUACGGGCAGACUAGAGUGUGGUAGGGGAGACUGGAAUUCCUGGUGUAGCGGUGAAAUGCGCAGAUAUCAGGAGGAACACCGAUGGCGAAGGCAGGUCUCUGGGCCACUACUGACGCUGAGGAGCGAAAGCAUGGGGAGCGAACAGG
rnacentral:rRNA from 1 species